UACUGUAUUUGCGCAAAAGAACUUGCCUUUCUAGCCUCGCGACUUGCUACGAAGCGUGGUAGCAUAGGAGACCGGUCGGUCCCCUUCUCCUCCGCCCGUCCUCCGUGCCCUGAGUGCGUGCGUCCUCUGCGCUUCGUCGGUGCCCCUCAGUAGAUGGGUGUGCGUAGUCUCCGUCUUCUUGCUUCCGCAGCCCUCCUCCUCCGGUUCCGGUCUUGAGGGCUGCGUGUGCCGGUCGAGCACGUCCGCCGGCUCCGAAGGCACGUGUCGGCCUGCUCCGAGUGGCCUCCGGGAGAGAAGAUGGCCGGACGCGCGCGUUUAGCGCUCGACCACCACCUCUAGCUGCUGUACGGCUAGUAGAAGAGAGUUCCACGUAUCUAGUAGCUACCGCUUCUUCACGAUGCUGUCCUUAUAUAUAUGUUGCUCACCGGUCUCACAGUACGGGUCCACAUGGCCGAAGACCAAAGGCUCGUUGUCCGUCAUCAAUCAAAUCCAAGUGCGAUUACGCUCUCUCCCUAUG
rnacentral:rRNA from 1 species